GAGAUAUAGCUCAGCUGGUCAGAGCGUUCGGUUCACAUCCGAGAGGUCGAGGGUUCGAACCCCCCUAUCUCC
rnacentral:tRNA from 1 species